rnacentral:rRNA from 1 species
UAAGCGGAGGAAAAGAAACUAACAAGGAUUCCCCUAGUAACGGCGAGUGAAGCGGGAAAAGCUCAAGUUUUAAAGCUCCGUGGUCUCCACGGCGCAUUGUAGACUAAAGUUGGUGUAUCUUGUACAGCCCGGGUAUAGAUCCGUUGGAACGCGGUAUCAUAGAGGGUGAGAAUCCCGUCUGUGACUCGGUGUCUGUGCAUCUACGUUACGCUAACGACGAGUCGGGUUGUUUGGGAAUGCAGCCCAAAAUGGGUGGUAAAUUUCAUCUAAAGCUAAAUAUGGGCACGAGACCGAUAGCGAACAAGUACCAUGAGGGAAAGAUGAAAAGAACUUUGAAAAGAGAGUCAAAAAGUACGUGAAACCGUUAAAGGGGAAACGAAUGGGGCUAGCAUUUGUACUUGCCAUAAUCAGUCAGACGUCUUGAGGUGCAGCUGUAUUGAGAGUGUUAAAGCCUCAUGCGGUUGUUUCCAAGGGAACGGCUGGUGCACUUGUGGUUGGUACAGGCCAACAUCAGUUCGGGCUUUGUGAAACACUUCAGGGGAAGGUAGUUACGGCGCUUCGGUGUCGUAAUGUUAUAACCUCUGUUGCAAAGCAAGGCCUGGACUGAGGAGUAGCAGCACGCAACUUCGGAGACGCUACCGCUGUUGUUGCUGGCAGGUUGGACUGUCUAAAGGCAGUGCUGUCUGUCACGCAGCCUCAUACGGGGUCUACCCAGAAACGUGCUUAUGAUGUUGGCGAAAUGGCUUCAUCCGACCCGUCUUGAAACACGGACC